GUGUCAGCCGCCGCGGUAAUACGGAGGGUGCGAGCGUUAUCCGGAUUUAUUGGGUUUAAAGGGUGCGUAGGCGGCUUAAUAAGUCAGUGGUGAAAGCUCAUAGCUUAACUAUGAAACUGCCAUUGAUACUGUUAAGCUUGAAUAUGUUUGAAGUAGCUAGAAUGUGUAGUGUAGCGGUGAAAUGCAUAGAUAUUACGCGGAAUACCAAUGGCGAAGGCAGGUUACUAAGACAUUAUUGACGCUGAUGGACGAAAGCGUGGGGAGCGAACAGGAUUAGAUACCCCGGUAGUCC
rnacentral:rRNA from 1 species